GAUGAACGCUUGCGGCGUGCCUAAUACAUGCAAGUCGAGCGAACAGACGAGGAGCUUGCUCCUUUGACGUUAGCGGCGGACGGGUGAGUAACACGUGGGUAACCUACCUAUAAGACUGGGAUAACUUCGGGAAACCGGAGCUAAUACCGGAUAAUAUUUCGAACCGCAUGGUUCGAUAGUGAAAGAUGGCCCUGCUAUCACUUAUAGAUGGACCUGCGCCGUAUUAGCUAGUUGGUAAGGUAACGGCUUACCAAGGCAACGAUACGUAGCCGACCUGAGAGGGUGAUCGGCCACACUGGAACUGAGACACGGUCCAGACUCCUACGGGAGGCAGCAGUAGGGAAUCUUCCGCAAUGGGCGAAAGCCUGACGGAGCAACGCCGCGUGAGUGAUGAAGGUCUUCGGAUCGUAAAACUCUGUUAUUAGGGAAGAACAAACGUGUAAGUAACUGUGCACGUCUUGACGGUACCUAAUCAGAAAGCCACGGCUAACUACGUGCCAGCAGCCGCGGUAAUACGUAGGUGGCAAGCGUUAUCCGGAAUUAUUGGGCGUAAAGCGCGCGUAGGCGGUUUUUUAAGUCUGAUGUGAAAGCCCACGGCUCAACCGUGGAGGGUCAUUGGAAACUGGAAAACUUGAGUGCAGAAGAGGAAAGUGGAAUUCCAUGUGUAGCGGUGAAAUGCGCAGAGAUAUGGAGGAACACCAGUGGCGAAGGCGACUUUCUGGUCUGUAACUGACGCUGAUGUGCGAAAGCGUGGGGAUCAAACAGGAUUAGAUACCCUGGUAGUCCACGCCGUAAACGAUGAGUGCUAAGUGUUAGGGGGUUUCCGCCCCUUAGUGCUGCAGCUAACGCAUUAAGCACUCCGCCUGGGGAGUACGACCGCAAGGUUGAAACUCAAAGGAAUUGACGGGGACCCGCACAAGCGGUGGAGCAUGUGGCUUAAUUCGAAGCAACGCGAAGAACCUUACCAAAUCUUGACAUCCUUUGACCCUUCUAGAGAUAGAAGUUUCCCCUUCGGGGGACAAAGUGACAGGUGGUGCAUGGUUGUCGUCAGCUCGUGUCGUGAGAUGUUGGGUUAAGUCCCGCAACGAGCGCAACCCUUAAGCUUAGUUGCCAUCAUUAAGUUGGGCACUCUAAGUUGACUGCCGGUGACAAACCGGAGGAAGGUAGGGAUGACGUCAAAUCAUCAUGCCCCUUAUGAUUUGGGCUACACACGUGCUACAAUGGACAAUACAAAGGGCAGCGAAACCGCGAGGUCAAGCAAAUCCCAUAAAGUUGUUCUCAGUUCGGAUUGUAGUCUGCAACUCGACUACAUGAAGCUGGAAUCGCUAGUAAUCGUAGAUCAGCAUGCUACGGUGAAUACGUUCCCGGGUCU
rnacentral:rRNA from 1 species